UGGGAAGGCCUCUGCAAUCAGUUUAUCCAAAUCGUGGAAAUCCAAAUGUGAGAAAAGAUCUCAAUCGAUCAAUCUUGCCAAGGGAAAUGGAAAGCAACACACCUGCAUAUAUCCUCUGGUCAUCAAACAGAAAUGAUGAAAUGACAUAUGCUCAUUGGAUUCCAAACCAUUUCUGUCCAAUUUUGAAGAUGUCCAUAAAUGAUGAUGUCCUUGAAUACAGUACUGACACUCUUGGAGAUAUAGACCUGGAAAACAUCAGCGGGUUGUCUGAGCAGCUGGCUUCAUGGGUCAUGGAUUUACUUGAUGACAGUGAUUCAGACGUCAGCAAUAACCAAUAUAAUAUGGAUGAGACCACAGCUGAUCAACACUCCUCAUUGGAUAAACUGACAGAUAACCAGUCCUCGAUGACAGUUAAACCCAUGGAUGUCCAAACUUUUGCUUCAGUUCAACCGGAAGAGGCUCUGAUGUCCAACUUGCAGGACAACAGUGAACAGAGCAACAAUAGUAUUGUUGUGUCUAAGGAUGAGACCACAGCUGAUCAACACUCCUUAUUGGAUAAACUGACAGAUAACCAGUCCUCGAUGACAGUUAAACCCAUGGAUGUCUAACCUUUUGCUUCAGUUCAACCGGAAGAGGCUCUGAUGUCCAACUUGCAGGAUAACAGUGAACAGAGCAACAAUAGUAUUGUUGUGUCUAAGGAUGAGACCACAGCUGAUCAACACUCCUUAUUGGAUAAACUGACAGAUAACCAGUCCUCGAUGACAGUUAAACCCAUGGAUGUCCAACCUUUUGCUUCAGUUCAACCGGAAGAGGCUCUGAUGUCCAACUUGCAGGAUAACAGUGAACAGAGCAACAAUAGUAUUGUUGUGUCUAAGGAUGAGACCACCACUGAUCAACACUCCUUAUUGGAUAAACUGACAGAUAACCAGUCCUUGAUGACAGUUAAACCCAUGGAUGUCCAACCUUUUGCUUCAGUUCAACCGGAAGAGGCUCUGAUGUCCAACUUGCAGGAUAACAGUGAACAGAGGGACAAUAGUAUUGUACUGUUCCAAGAGAAGCCCUUAUAUGACCAGCUCUUAGUCUCUGAGCACUACACUAAAAGAUGUAAUGAGCAACAGAGGUUGAUGUGUGGCCCUAUGUUUACUUCUAUACCCACAAGAAGGAGGACUUGUGGAUAAGUGCAUCGAUACGCCAUUCCAUAAUAUCAUCAGAGGUGGUCAAACCAAUAGACCCGCCAGAUGUCUGUUUGAUUGGAACUAGACGAUUUAUGUACAAAUUCAAAGAUCUUUGAACUUCAGGAAUCUGUGCCAGAGAGUGUUCCAAGUUUUAUGUCAAAUAAAAUAUUUGGUUAACGU